rnacentral:ncRNA from 1 species
UGGGCGGAAUCCGAAAAGCCAUAACAGAGUAGGAA